UACAGAGGGGGCAAGCGUUAUUCGGAAUUACUGGGCGUAAAGAGCGCGCAGGCGGUCAAGUAAGUCGAAUGUGAAAGCCCCCGGCUCAACUGGGGAGGGUCAUUCGAUACUGCUCGACUUGAAGGCAGGAGAGGGCAGCAGAAUUCCCGGUGUAGUGGUGAAAUGCGUAGAGAUGUGGAGGAACACCGAUGGCGAAGGCAGCCCCCUGGGUCAAGAUUGACGCUCAUGCACGAAAGCGUGGGGAGCAAACAGG
rnacentral:rRNA from 1 species